UGGGGAAUCUUGCACAAUGGGCGAAAGCCUGAUGCAGCGACGCCGCGUGAAGGAUGAAGGUCUUCGGAUUGUAAACUUCUGUUAAGCGGGAGAAAAGACUCAUGCAUAAUACGUAUGGGGAAUGAUAGUACCGCUAGAGAAAGCACCGGCUAACUUCGUGCCAGCAGCCGCGGUAAUACGAGGGGUGCAAGCGUUAUCCGGAAUUAUUGGGCGUACAGGGCGCGUAGGCGGCUUAUUAAGUCAACUGUUAAAUUUCCCGGCCUAACUGGGAGCCUGCAGUUGAUACUGACGAGCUAGAGGAUGGAAGAGAGAAGCGGAAUUCUCGGAGUAGCGGUAAAAUGCGUAGAUCUCGAGAGGAACACCGAUGGCGAAGGCAGCUUCUUGGUCCAUUUCUGACGCU
rnacentral:rRNA from 1 species